UACGUAGGGUGCAAGCGUUAAUCGGAAUUACUGGGCGUAAAGCGUGCGCAGGCGGUUAUGCAAGACAGAUGUGAAAUCCCCGGGCUCAACCUGGGAACUGCAUUUGUGACUGCAUAGCUGGAGUGCGGCAGAGGGGGAUGGAAUUCCGCGUGUAGCAGUGAAAUGCGUAGAUAUCUGGAGGAACACCGGUGGCGAAGGCGGCAUCCUGGACCGGCAUUGACGCUGAGGCGCGAAAGCCAGGGGAGCAAACGGG
rnacentral:rRNA from 1 species